AUUUAAUAAAUGCUUCGAGAUUCUCCGGCUAAGGGAAACUAUGCCGGUUGAUCCUGAGUUUUGACUCACAGGGUAACGAUGGAAACGCCGUUGCCUCCCAUGACGCAGGAUAGUAUCCUGCCAGGAAAGAGGCCUGCAAAUUCGCUGC
rnacentral:ncRNA from 2 species